GGGUCAGUCAGUGUUAUGAAUUUGUAGUGUAAAGAUGUAUCCUAUGUGUUGUUCUGUGUGCUCCUGUAUCUUGCUAAGCUGCCCUUUUGGUGUUCCUGUCUAUCCUGUUUUUGCUGUUUUUCUGAUGAUAUAAAUUUCAAUAUGGAACAAGUCGAUGACAUCAAUUUAGAACUUUUAUCAUUAACUGCAAUGAUAGGAUGAUAUGAGCCGUAAUAGGACAGGUGAUGAAAUCAAUCGAAAAUUCUCAUCAUUGGCUGUAGCAGCAAGGAUGGGAUGAAUUUAAAUGAGACAAGGAGACGACAUAAUCAGUUGGAGUGAAGGUGAUGCAAAUUCCAAUGGGACAAGCUGAUGAUUUCCGUCAUCAACUACAGUCAAAAUAAUAUGAAGUUCAAUGGAGCACACCGACGACGUCAAUAAUCAACUGCAGUAAGGAUGACACGAUGAUGACAAGCUGACGACAUCAAUAUUGAGCUUUUAUUACCAACUGCAGUAAGGGUUCAUACUGAGAUAACAAGAGAUGACUACAUGGUUUACUCGAGUGUAUUAUCCCUUUUUGGAUGCUCAGUAAAGAGCUUGUUUUCCCAGUUGAAUAGAAACAACGAAAAUAACGAGUGGUGUAACUAUAUGUGGCUGUACGAUAAGCAAGUUUCUGUGUGUGAGUGGGGAUCAAUCGAUACAGCCACGAUACAACUAACGAUGUCUCGAAACUCAAAAACAGACAUGCGCACAUGAGUAAAUGCACAAGUAUAUAUACGCUCAUCUACAAUUCUCUGCCCGAGGGAAACAAUGCUGCACUAUUUAACCCUUUGGAUUUAUUCGAACACAUACUUGCUUGGUGGGUAAAUGUGCUUAAAUCGUAAACACCGCUAAUCCUGUUGGAUCCCUCCAAGCUUAUGCACACAAAUAUACUACCAUCACGACAUGGAUGAAUUUCAAAGUUUCCAAAGUAUUUAUUGAACAAUAUAUAUAUAAAUAAAAAUAGCAUAACGAUAGUGGAUGCGACGAGGUUAGAUAGAGAGGGGCUAUAAGUUCGUAAUCCGUAUGGC